AGGGUCUCUCUGUGUCUCCAAGGCUGGAGUGCAGUGGCGUGAUCAUAACUAACUACAGUCUCAAACUCCUGGGCUCAAGGGGUCCUCCCGCCUCAGCCUCCUGAGCUAGGACCACAGAUAUUCCCAUAAAAUGUAUCAGGUUGUUGCAGAUCAAACCGAUGGACAGAAGAUGGGAUAAUGAGCAAAGAUACAACCAUAAUAACCUUGAGAUAAUGCUUGAAGCAGUAAAGUGAGGACUGGAAAAUAAAUCAUGUGUCCUGAGGCUUCCACUCAACACACGCUAAAACCUCAAAGCAGACAUCAGUAUCAACAGAGAUCCUAGAGCAGCUUUUUAGAGCUGACUUGAGGAGAAGGUGAGGGGUCUCUUAAUACUAAUAGAGAGUGGGGGAAAUCUCAUUUAUUUUUUUUUCCAUUCUCUAGUGCCCCAGUCCCCAAUCAAUCUUUUGGUGGUAGCAGUAGUGGCAGCAGCAACAACAAAGAUACACAGGCUUACAGCUGAUGAAGAUGACAACCCAGAAAUGCCAACUAUCAUAGACAAAACCCCAAGAAUAGCCUCUCUCUAGCCAAUACACCAGGAAAGAGGCAGGCUAGCAAGACAGAACUUUUAGACAAUAUACCUCUCUACUGCAGUCAACCACCACACCAAAUGGUGGUCACACCCACACCAUCAAAGGCUGAGUGAGGAGCCUAGAUUUCCACCAUCGUUGGUCUAUAAUGAUGCACCCCAAUCUUUCCACCAAGCCAGUGUCAGAAAAGACCUAGCAGGGAGCCAGGAUGUUCAUCUCCAUCAACAAGUAACAAGAGUCCCCCCUCAUGAUGUAUGUGGAACACUGGCAACCACAUGGGGAGCCUAAACUCCCACUCCCUCCCAGUAGUAAUAAGGUGCCCUCUGGCUUGUCUCCCACUGGAGUGCUGUUGGAGGAGGCACAGUGAAGAAGCAAGACUUUCACAACUGCUCAGCACUAGUGAAGCCAUCCCCCUCAGUGUGCUAUGAAUAGAGGCUGGGGAACAGUUAAAAGACACUGUUGCACUUUCUAGCCAGGGUAAUAGCAAUGGAAGCUAAGAAGGAAGCUGAAACUCCCAAACUCGCCAAGCAAUCAUUACUAGCCCCCCACCUAGAGUGUCAAUGGAGGUCAAGUGGAGAACCUGGACUUCUACUUCACAUGGCAGUAAGAAGGCAGUGCCCACCCCCUCCAUCCCUGGAGCAGUCUCAGAGGAAGCCAGCUAAAAGAGAAGGUUGAACUAAGAUUCAGAGUUUUCUGGUAUAAAAUUAAAAAUGUCCAGGUUUCUAUUUUUGUAACUAUAAUAAAAUGUGGUAUUUAUACACAAUGGAAUAGUAUGCAUCAGUUUAAAAUAUGCCUAUCAUUAGUGACAGCAUGGAUGAACCUGGAGGACAUUACGUUAAGUAUAUGCCAGGCAUUGGUUCACUCAUAUGUUGAACCUAAAAGUGUUGAUCUCAUAGAAGUAGGGAAUAGAAUGGAG
rnacentral:lncRNA from 10 species